rnacentral:misc_RNA from 1 species
GAAAUGCGAUAAGUAGUGUGAAUUGCAGAAUUCAGUGAAUCAUCGAAUCUUUGAACGCACAUUGCGCCCCUUGGUAUUCCAUGGGGCAUGCCUGUUCGAGCGUCAUUUCAACCCUCAGAACCCCUUGCGGGAUCUGGCGUUGGGGAUUGGCAUCCAGCCAGCCCCGAAAUCUAGUGGCUGUCCCUCCGCGACCUCCCCUGUGCAGUAGCGAUACCUCGCAGCGGGACAGCGGUCUGACCACGCCGUAAAACCCCCAACUUCUCAAGGUUGACCUCGAAUCAGGUAGGAAUACCCGCUGAACUUAAGC